rnacentral:rRNA from 1 species
GAUCCUACGGGAGGCAGCAGUGGGGAAUAUUGCACAAUGGGGGAAACCCUGAUGCAGCAACGCCGCGUGAGUGAAGAAGUAUUUCGGUAUGUAAAGCUCUAUCAGCAGGGAAGAAGAAAGACGGUACCUGACUAAGAAGCCCCGGCUAACUACGUGCCAGCAGCCGCGGUAAUACGUAGGGGGCAAGCGUUAUCCGGAUUUACUGGGUGUAAAGGGAGCGUAGACGGCAUAGCAAGUCUGAAGUGAAAGCCCGGGGCCCAACCCCGGGACUGCUCUUGGAACUGCGUGGCUGGAGUGCAGGAGGG